AUUGAACGCUGGCGGCAUGCCUUACACAUGCAAGUCGAACGGCAGCACGGGAGCAAUCCUGGUGGCGAGUGGCGAACGGGUGAGCAAAGUAUCGGAACGUGCCCAGUCGUGGGGGAUAACGUAGCGAAAGUUACGCUAAUACCGCAUACGAUCUAUGGAUGAAAGCGGGGGAUCGCAAGACCUCGCGCGAUUGGAGCGGCCGAUAUCAGAUUAGGCAGUUGGUGGGGUAAAGGCUCACCAAGCCGACGAUCUGUAGCUGGUCUGAGAGGACGACCAGCCACACUGGGACUGCAGCACGGCCCAGACUCCUACGGGAGGCAGCAGUGGGGAAUUUUGGACAAUGGGCGAAAGCCUGAUCCAGCCAUGCCGCGUGCAGGAUGAAGGCCUUCGGGUUGUAAACUGCUUUUGUACGGAACGAAAAGGUUUGGGCUAAUAAGCUGAGCUCAUGACGGUACCGUAAGAAUAAGCACCGGCUAACUACGUGCCAGCCGCCGCAGUAA
rnacentral:rRNA from 1 species